rnacentral:tRNA from 1 species
GGUGGCUGAGUGGUAGAGUGCUUGUCUAGCAUGCAUGAAACCCUGGGUUCAAUUCCUAGGACCA